rnacentral:rRNA from 1 species
CGGACGGGUGAGUAAUGUAUGGGGAUCUGCCUGAUGGCGGGGGAUAACUACUGGAAACGGUAGCUAAUACCGCAUAAUGUCUACGGACCAAAGCGGGGGACCUCCGGGCCUCGCGCCAUCAGAUGAACCCAUAUGGGAUUAGCUAGUAGGUAAGGUAACGGCUUACCUAGGCGACGAUCCCUAGCUGGUCUGAGAGGAUGAUCAGCCGCACUGGGACUGAGACACGGCCCAG